GAACUUCCCACCUCCCUCAUCCACCACAGAACUAACCUGUGAGCUAGCUUUUUGUUGUUCAGGGAUAGAAAAGUUCACAAAUUGUAGAGGAGAGUCUGUGUGACACAACGAUGGUAGGUGGGUUAACCCAAGACAGCGCUUAAGAUCAGCCCAGAGAAGUAACCACAAAGCACAGGAAGUCAUGGCUCCCAGAAGGCUAUCUGGAUCGCCUUCGGGAAGGUUCCAGCAGUGAAGCAGUCGGCAAUAUGGGCUUCAGAAACUUCGGCACAGCUCCGGCCGGUAUUCCCAGAGGACAAAACUCUUGUCAUCUGCCCCAUUUUACAUAGCAACAAUGGCAGGAGCUGCAAGCAGAAGCUUCUCCUAUGUCCUCUUUAUUUGUAUCAGCUAAAUAAAGAAUGACACUGAAUAAAGAUAUGGAGAAAGAAAAGGAAGAUGGAUAGGAGAAAAUAACAGAGAAACCAAGCUUUGGCCUGAACAAUAAGGAAAAACAAUUUUGAAAAAACUUCAAGAAGAAUUUCUCACAAAGUUGAGAAUUAGAAGAAACAACACCUGAAAAAGUUUUCAUCUUUUGCAAGCUGCAUCCUGGGAUCAAAAGGUUUGAAAGUGAAAAGUUGCAUUAUGUAAGAAUUGAUGAAGCAGAAUAUUUCCAUUUUAUAUUAAUCACUAUAUAAGAUGAAUUUUCUUUUUACUAGUGCAUAUAUCUCAUCACUUGCAAGCUCUCAUCUUUGAAGGGCACAUAUCACCUUUUCAAGGAUUUUAAGAAAUAUUUAAACAUGCAUAGAGCCCAAGCAGUCAUAUAAAGUCGCUUCUGUACAGUCAAGUUAUUACAUUUUAAACAGGAGGUACUUUCCACAAUAAGACAUGGCAAACUCUAGUUUUAAAUUGAAUACUUCUGCAGGUGUUUUUGCUCUCAUUUUAAAUUUAAUUAUACUUAGCAAAUCCAAUGGCAUGUUUUUAGCUGAGGGCAAUCAUGAG
ensembl:lncRNA